rnacentral:rRNA from 1 species
CCUACGGGAGGCUGCAGUGGGGAAUAUUGGACAAUGGGCGAAAGCCUGAUCCAGCCAUGCCGCGUGUGUGAAGAAGGCCUUCGGGUUGUAAAGCACUUUCAGUGGGGAAGAAAGCCUUGGGGCUAAUACCCUCGAGGAAGGACAUCACCCACAGAAGAAGCACCGGCUAACUCCGUGCCAGCAGCCGCGGUAAUACGGAGGGUGCGAGCGUUAAUCGGAAUUACUGGGCGUAAAGCGCGCGUAGGCGGUCUGAUAAGCCGGUUGUGAAAGCCCCGGGCUCAACCUGGGAACGGCAUCCGGAACUGUCAGGCUAGAGUGCAGGAGAGGAAGGUAGAAUUCCCGGUGUAGCGGUGAAAUGCAUAGAGAUCGGGAGGAAUACCAGUGGCGAAGGCGGCCUUCUGGACUGACACUGACGCUGAGGUGCGAAAGCGUGGGUAGCAAACAGGAUUAGAUACCCUGGUAGUC